rnacentral:miRNA from 1 species
UCGUUCCUGGGGGGGUG